GACUCUGGAGUGAUAAAGGUGAUGUUUACUGCGUACGGCUGUUCGGAUAGCCAAAUCUGCAGUGCUCCACAUCCCAAUCUUAAGGUUACUUAUCCCAGCUGCUCCAGUACCGUUUCCACUAUUGCUGACAGAUCUACAGUAGCUGUGGUCUGUGAGCAUGGCUAACGCACACUGGACUGUGCCUACAGGUGCAAUGGACAGAACAGUUGCACAGUAGAAGCUUACUCCACCAUCUUUACAGAUCCAUGUGAACACUUUGCAAAAUACCUCUCAGUGUCCUAUACCUGCAUCGCUAGUCAG